UAGGGAAUCUUCCGCAAUGGACGCAAGUCUGACGGAGCAACGCCGCGUGAGUGAAGAAGGAUUUCGGUUCGUAAAACUCUGUUGUUAGAGAAGAACAGCGCAUAGAGUAACUGUUAUGCGUGUGACGGUAUCUAACCAGAAAGCCACGGCUAACUACGUGCCAGCAGCCGCGGUAAUACGUAGGUGGCAAGCGUUGUCCGGAUUUAUUGGGCGUAAAGCGAGCGCAGGCGGUCAAUUAAGUCUGAUGUGAAAUCCCCCGGCUCAACCGGGGAGGGUCAUUGGAAACUGGUUGACUUGAGAGCAGAAGAGAAGAAUGGAAUUCCAUGUGUAGCGGUGAAAAGCGUAGAUAUAUGGAGGAACACCAGUGGCGAAGGCGACUCUAUGGUCUGUAACUGACGCUGAGGCUCGAAAGCGUGGGUAGCAAACAGG
rnacentral:rRNA from 1 species